GUGUCUGUCGCCUAGUGGUAUGGCACACGACUUUUAAUCGUGACAGCAUGGGUUCAAUUCCCAUCAGACACA
rnacentral:tRNA from 1 species